AAGUCUGCGCAGUGGCAGUAUCGUAGCCAAUGAGGUUAAUCUGAGGUGCGAUUUUUGCUAAUUA
rnacentral:snRNA from 1 species